GUUGAACGCUGGCGGCAUGCCUUACACAUGCAAGUCGAACGGCAGCAUGAUCUAGCUUGCUAGAUUGAUGGCGAGUGGCGAACGGGUGAGUAAUACAUCGGAACGUGCCCUGUAGUGGGGGAUAACUAGUCGAAAGAUUAGCUAAUACCGCAUACGACCUGAGGGUGAAAGUGGGGGACCGCAAGGCCUCAUGCUAUAGGAGCGGCCGAUGUCUGAUUAGCUAGUUGGUGAGGUAAAGGAUCACCAAGGCGACGAUCAGUAGUUGGUCUGGGAGGACGAUCAGCCACACUGGGACUGAGACACGGCCCAGACUCCUACGGGAGGCAGCAGUGGGGAAUUUUGGACAAUGGGGGCAACCCUGAUCCAGCAAUGCCGCGUGUGUGAAGAAGGCCUUCGGGUUGUAAAGCACUUUUGUCCGGAAAGAAAUCGCACUUACUAAUAUUAGGUGUGGAUGACGGUACCGGAAGAAUAAGGACCGGCCAACUACGUGCCAGCAGCCGCCGUAAAAC
rnacentral:rRNA from 1 species